UGGAAUCACAUGUAUCUAUAUAUUUAAUUCUCUUAAACGUACCCAUCACUAAUCCUAUGCAUGGCAGCUCUCGUGAAAGUUUGCAAACAGCUGCUGGGGGAUAAGUGACGGGGACGGGGGAAGAAAACAGCCAUGGCGACUGGCAGAGCCACGCUGGCAGGAGGAGGCAAAGCCACGCCAGCGGGAGGAGGCGGCCGGCAGCAGGAGGAGGCCGGCCAACUGGAGGUGGUGGCAGGCUGGCCAGAGGCGGCUGGCAGGUGGGCGGACGGUGAUAAAACGGCAGCAGCGAGCGGGAGAAAAUGGCUGGACCAAACAAGAGGCACAGAUGCUCUGCGACUGGCCCAGCUAGUUGUUAUGAUUCUUGAAUAUCACAUAUGUGCACAUUUGUGGCAGGGUGAGAAAGGAACUGCAACAGUAGAGACAUCUGCACAGAGCAUGGGAGAGAGCUUCUAGAUUCACCUGGUUCUCUGCGGCUUCCAAUUUCAUAGUCAAGAACAUCUUCCAACCAGUUGCAUUUCAACUGACCUUAACCAUCCUCCUCCUUAACUGCAUAUGGAAUCCUGCUGCCCAAUCACCACGGUGCUUCUGCUCAUGAACUCUCGCGAGAGCUGCUACACACGGGAUUAGCCACAGAUCUCGGGGGAACCAGAUGAAUGGCCCUUGACACUACCAGCCAACACAGACGACUGAUUAGACGUAGUCCUGUACCACAGCAUUUAAGCCCAGCGGAUCUGCCAAUCUUGUUCAACCUGUCAGGCCCACAACAUUGGACAAGGAGCGAAGACACAACCAUCUGUAAGGCCCCCAAACUGGGGGACCCUUGAAGUUCUUCCAGAUGGACUUUGCUGCCACCUGCUGGUGGUGGGUUUGAAUUUUUUCCAGGAUGGUCAAGUGACUGAUUCUUCCAAGAUUCAGAUUUUCUCAGAACCUGGACAUAAUGACUAUGCUGGCUAAAGUGGUGCAAGACUCUAAUCUGCCCUGAGUAGAUGGUUUACCCUUUGUCCUGAUGUCUAUCAGAGAUGGCUCCAAGGAGAGACAUUGGCUUACCCCUCAUGAACCAGUGGGGGGGGGCGCUAUGAGGGUAGGAAUGGAGCCUCCCACCAAACCUAUCAGGGAAAGUCUGAUGCAACUGGACAAAGACACAGUUCAGUAUUGUGUGACCCUCACUAAUGGGUUUAAGUCUCUUAACAGGCAUGUGAAGGUGUCCCAGACUGGAACUGUGAUUGGAGCCUGUUAUGCCCUCCAGCCCAGAGAUUGGGCCCUCAUCAAAGAGUUUCGGAGGAAGAACUGUCUUUCCCCGUGUAGGACUAGUCAUUUACAGAUUCUGUUGGUGAUCCAAACGGCUGUCAAGUGCAAAGGAAGGAAUACUUGGAUCCAUACAUCCCAUUGCCGGAAGAUGACCCCAAGGGAGCCUCCAGAUGACAGAAACCCAGACCCAGAAGAAGGAUCACCAGUGUGACAGGGCGGGCUAACCGCCAUCAACCUAGCAGGAAAAAGAAAGACUCGUGAAGCUCUUACAGGAGUUGAGGUGUGAAAGAUGUCUAUCAUAAUGCAGGCUCUUGAGGCACAAGUCAGGGAGCAGAAGAAGUAUAUGAGCAUUUGAAUGAAGGGAAGUGGCUAGGGUGAAGAGGCUCACCUAGCUUCGGAUGUGGGAACUGUUGGGGGGGAAAUCAAAGAUGGAAAAGUGAACUAAAGUUUUUCUCCUUGUCUGUGGUAUUUGGGAAAGAUGCUGUGAGUGCAAAACAAUAGCCUCUUUGUGGCUUGAAAGUUGGACAUGCGCAGUAGUUAUAAAAAUAUUUCUAGCCUAGAGUACUGUGAUUGGUUAAUGCUGAUCUGAAGAUGUACAAUAUACAGGUACUCAUUCUGACCAAAUGUAUAUGCAUAACU